rnacentral:rRNA from 1 species
UACGGGGGGGGCAAGCGUUGUUCGGAAUUACUGGGCGUAAAGGGUUCGUAGGUGGCUUGCUAAGUCAGACGUGAAAUCCCUCAGCUUAACUGGGGAACUGCGUCUGAGACUGGUGAGCUUGAGUGCAGGAGAGGAACGCGGAAUUCCAGGUGUAGCGGUGAAAUGCGUAGAUAUCUGGAGGAACACCGAUGGCGAAGGCAGCCCCCUGGGCCAAUACUGACGCUCAGGCACGAAAGCGUGGGGAGCAAACAGG